GACGAACGCUGGCGGCGUGCUUAACACAUGCAAGUCGAACGGAAAGGCCCUGCUUUUGUGGGGUGCUCGAGUGGCGAACGGGUGAGUAACACGUGAGUAACCUGCCCUUGACUUUGGGAUAACUUCAGGAAACUGGGGCUAAUACCGGAUAGGAGCUCCUGCUGCAUGGUGGGGGUUGGAAAGUUUCGGCGGUUGGGGAUGGACUCGCGGCUUAUCAGCUUGUUGGUGGGGUAGUGGCUUACCAAGGCUUUGACGGGUAGCCGGCCUGAGAGGGUGACCGGCCACAUAGGGACUGAGAUACGGCCCAGACUCAUACGGGAGGCAGCAGUGAGGAAUAUUGCAAAAUGGGCGGAAGCCUUAAGGAGCAACGCCGCGUGCGGGAUGACGGCCUUCGGGUUGGAAGCCGCUUUCGCCUGUGACGAAGAGUGAGUGACGGUAAUGGGUAAAGAAGAACCGGCUAACUACGUG
rnacentral:rRNA from 1 species